rnacentral:sRNA from 1 species
UUGCCAGACGAAAUGGAAACUGAGAAUAUACACAUACAGGCAGCACUGACAGUGGAACUACAAGCUCACACAAACACACAGUGCAAUUCCUUCCCCCACCACAUGCUUCAGUCCUGGCCUAGAGGAACCACCUCCAGAGAUGAGAGGGGAUUUCAGUCUCCAUAAUCAUUACAUUCUCUGAGUCCC